UACAGAGGUCCCAAGCGUUAUCCGGAUUUAUUGGGUUUAAAGGGUGCGUAGGCGGCUUAUUAAGUCAGGGGUGAAAGACGGUGGCUCAACCAUCGCAGUGCCCUUGAUACUGAUGAGCUUGAAUGAACUAGAGGUAGGCGGAAUGUGACAAGUAGCGGUGAAAUGCAUAGAUAUGUCACAGAACACCGAUUGCGAAGGCAGCUUACUAUGGUUUAUUGACGCUGAGGCACGAAAGCGUGGGGAUCAAACAGG
rnacentral:rRNA from 1 species